UAUCUAUGAUUAUCCUAUCCUGAACCUGAAUUUCUGUUGCAAAAACUUAAUAUACGGAUCUAGCUUCUGAAAU